rnacentral:rRNA from 1 species
UACGUAGGGUGCGAGCGUUAAUCGGAUUUACUGGGCGUAAAGCGUGCGCAGGCGGCCCGUUAAGACAGGUGUGAAAUCCCUGGGCUCAACCUAGGAAUUGCACUUGUGACUGGCGGGCUCGAGUACGGUAGAGGAGAGUGGAAUUCCUGGUGUAGCAGUGAAAUGCGUAGAGAUCAGGAGGAACACCGAUGGCGAAGGCAGCCCCCUGGGCCUGUACUGACGCUCAUGCACGAAAGCGUGGGUAGCAAACAGG